rnacentral:rRNA from 1 species
ACGGAGGUCCCAAGCGUUGUUCGGAUUCACUGGGCGUAAAGGGUGCGUAGGCGGUCGGGAAAGUUUGAUGUGAAAGCUCCGGGCUCAACCUGGAAAUUGCAUUGAAAACUAUUCGACUAGAGGAUUGUAUGGGAGACUGGAAUUCUCGGUGUAGCAGUGAAAUGCGUAGAUAUCGAGAGGAACACCAGUGGCGAAGGCGAGUCUCUGGACAAUUCCUGACGCUGAGGCACGAAAGCUAGGGGAGCAAACAGG